UCGGGUGUGGUGUACGGAACACCCUCCCCUCAUUUGCACCCAGUGUAAGUUAUGAGUGGGAGAGACCCGGGUUCGACUCCCGGCGCCCGGA